rnacentral:lncRNA from 1 species
CUUGGUUGGGUAUCGAAGGCGCUGGUGGACCUAAUAGGUCCUUCUCUUUCUCUCAUAAAAAAGCCCGAGGUAUCUAUAUUUUGUCUCUAUUCCAGUAGUUCUAUACUUUUUCUGCUAAUUUCCGAAUCCUGAUGGGCAUAAAUAGGAUUGUGUGUUUUUGGGUGAUACACCUAUACUCCUAUAGUAAUCAGGGACCGGUACUAACGGAAGAUGAAUAAAACCACUGUACGGAGAACAAAAUAAGAAAGAGGUGGCCAUUGAGUUGUCAUGAUAUAUCAAAAUCAUGAUAAGUUAUUUAGUUGUUCCUCCAAUAUAGCAUCACAUGUAAAUGAAUCUUAGUAUAUUGAAGUUCUGUUUUGACAAAGUUUGUACUGAAGUGGCACAUAUUUUCACUUAGUGCAGAUCAGUCAAAACGACUACCUCAAACUGAAAGCACGACGGAGAUUUUCCAAAAACCCAAUGGUAAGUUAUUUAUUCUACCUAGAAUUACCUUUGAGGAUCAAGUGGAAUCUUCUAAUUUUAGAUAAAAUGUUAAACAGAAGCAUGAAUUUUACCUUUUUGAACAAAGGUUCACCAAUCACCUGAAAUCAAAUAUGUACAUCUAUUGUAGUGAAGUUAAAUAAGUUUAUGUAACUUAGAUUUUUGUGCGGGUAUGUAACUUAGUUUAAAUAUUGAUUAACUAAUACACACUACUUACGGUGGUCUUAUUAUUGAACGAGACAUUUACAGAAAUCUGUUAGGACCAUGGGAUCGACUAGGCUAGGGUUUCAGAGUAGAUCGAACUAUCUGCAGUCUGUCUAUGAUCUGUUUGUGUGUAUACCUUAGCGUUCCGGCCAUCGCUGGUUCGUCGAUGAAGGUCUGCGCACGGGCCGCGACGGUCGGUGUAUGGGUCAACGGUGAAGUGCGGCAGGGCGUUGUGGAGCUUCCCAUCGCUGGCAGGCUUUCCUCGAUCGAUGAGGUUAGGGAGGUGGGUGACGGUUCUGUUUUGGCGUACCUGCCCUAGUGGCCCCCACCUCCCUCUUAUAGCCGGCGCGACAUGGGCCCACAACCCAGUUGGGUUGGGCUCCCCCAAUCAGGGAGCGAGUCAAGGGUCUAAUGGGCCUUUGGGCCCAUUGGUGGAGAGAUCAAUACUAACAUUCUCCCGCUUGAUCUCAUCUUUCAAAUUUAUAACUUUGUACUUUGAAAUAACUCUUUUCAAAGUACUCAUUUCAUCACAGAUUAAUGCGUAUGAGCUGCCCUAUCGUCACGGUCAAUCGCCGAUGGACUUGACAGCUACAACACACCUCUCUGUUUUAAAAUAUAUACAUUAACUUUUGGGCCCUUUAUUGUCCGGAAAACAUAGACUAUACCAUAAACCCAUGUCAACUGUGUGUCCUUUGAACGCACUGGGCGGUAAGCCUUUAUUAAGCAGAUCUGCAAAUACUUGUCUGUUGCUUUCAUGCUCCAAGCAUUUCAACAUAAUUCUGGACUUUCUCCUUAACAACGUAUAACUUUGUGUCAACGUGUUUGGCACCACACUUGACUCGUUGUCAUAGGAGUGAAUUACUUAAUGGUUAUUGCUGCUGUCAACCAUUAUCAACUCCGGGUACAUGUUUCUUUGACCUUUUUUUUGCCUGUCCCUUAGCCUCAUAUCAUGUUGUACAUUAUCUUUACAUCAUAUUAAUGAUAAUUGAUUCAUUCUUUAGAGUUUUUCCACACAAAAACUCCAAGUGUGACAGUUAGCGACAAUUGUGGAUUUCGCUGUAUAUUUCACAAGUUCUAUCUCUGUAUUCACAACCUUUUGAGAGCACUUGCUCCUUUUAGCAUGAGGCUGAUAUUUUUGACUCCAUUCUAGUGAUCUAUAUCUGGACUGGACAUUGCCAAAAGAACCUGGUUACGCGAACCGUGUCAGGGUAAUGUUAUACUUUUGCACUCAUUAAGCUUCUAGCAGCUGAAACAUAUGGUACCAUAUUCAUUUGGUCUAUUUCGUAUUGACUUUUGGAACGCUAAAGUUCCCAAAAUCAUUACCCUUUACUAUAAGAACAGGCAUAGGUUUUCUCUCAUGCAUACUUUAGAAACUUUUCUUAGCAUGCCCAUGCGACACUCCUAAUGCCCCUUUUAUUCUUUUCUCGGUGAAUCUCGAUCCUUAUAACGAGACACAUUCUACCAAGAACAUUCGUUUGAACUUUGAGGACAAGAACUUCUUUUCCUCCUGUAGUAGAUUAACAUCUCUACUAACAAGUAGAAUGUUAUCCGCAUGUACAGGAUUAGCAAAUGAAAUUCCCAUUCUAUAACUUUAUACAAACACAAUUGUCCUCUCAUUUUCUUUAAUCCAAAACAACAUUUGAUUGCUUUAGUCCAUAAAAGACUUCUUCAGGCAGUAUCCCUUGUCUUCUUUACUUCCAUCUAAUGUAACUCGGAUCAUAAUAUCUUUCAUCUGAUGUAACUCAGAUCAUGAUGUGCUACCAACACUCAUUGUAAUCUAAGUGUAAAACGCGCAAAAACCUUUCGAUUUAAGUCGUGCUUUACACCUUUACAUAUUUUCUUUGGAGUCACAUUGUCCUUGUAGACUCUUUACAGCCUACUUAUUUGGCUCCAUUGGAAAUUACUCAUGUGUCCCAAACAUCAUAGGGAUUCACCAAUUCAUUUCAUCUCACAUAGUCUCUUAUCAUUUAGAUAAGCAGACACUUCUCAAAGCUCGAUUGAGCUUUAAAUGAGGUGGGAUCACCCUCUAAUUUUAAUUUCUCCAACAUAGACUUUAUAGUCAUCAGACAUAUCUAAUUUUCUCACUCAGAUACUGGUACUUCUUUCAUAUGGGGCUGUUGUUGCUCUGUUAUUGCCAAGCGGCAAUUAAUUCUAUAGUCUUUCAUUGCCAAGAGGCAAUAGCUUUUACAGGGUCCUAUAUCAUAAGAUCCAUAUUUGCUCAUUCAUCCUUUUAUAGAGCCAACAACAGAUGUUGUAUAGGUCAUACAACAUGCUCCCCAGAUACAAUCUAUACAAGCCUUAUGGUAUACUCUAUAGUCUUUUACUUUAUCUAGGUAGCCAACAAAAUAGCUCCCCCAGAUUUCUUAUUUUGGGUUUGCUCUGUCAAAACUUUCCUCAUAAGAACCCUCUUCUACUUUUGAAUCUCGUUCAGUAUGAAUAUGCUAUCUUCGAAUCGGAAACUGUAAGAUUCAAGGAAUAUAUCUAUCUCUUUACUUUAGGGGUAUCGUUAUUGUGUAUCAUUAUUGUGACCAUCGUACUCCCCCGACGAUCACAUUCAUCAUUUAUAGAUCAAUUUAGAUGAACCAUGUGCACAUUAUGCAGGGGAGUUUCAUCAUUCACAUUACUUUCUCCCCCUCGAAAUGUGGCAAGAACUUUUUUGCCACAAUUUCGAAAACCAUUUAGAACUCUUGUGAAUUGAGGAAACUUUGAUUGUCUACUUCAUGCGGAAUAAAGUUAUCCGUUAACUCGUAUGGGAGUACUUUCCUCAUUCCAUUAAAAAAACUCAACUGAGUUCUUUAUCAAUAGUACAUUUGCAAGUCAAACAUGCAUAUCAUUCUUAUCUUUUGGUUCGUCUAUAACUUUUAUUCUCUUUAGACUCAUUGAUUGCUUAAUGACUAUGACACUUAAAAGUGCACAGUCGAUACUAGGAUAGCAUAAGGGCUACUCCAUACUUUUCUUUCAAAUUGGGAUUCAUUAAAAACAUAUGAGUCAUCACAUCUUUUUCCUGUCAUACAGGAUAAUUCCUUUGCCAAAAUUUAUCCCACCAUACGGGAUUAUUCCGACAUAAAUAUUAUGCCAACUUUACCCCGCCAUGCGGGUAUUAUCAUACUCAUCUUUUCUCACUAUGCGGGUAAUUCUCUGGAAGGGAUAUGAAUGCCAGAAUUGGCUUCUUUGAUUGCCUAUUUAAUCAUCAAAUUCAGAAAUAAAUCCGAAUAUUCUUUAAUACACAUGCAUGCUUAAUCCGACGUUGGUCAAAUUAAUCAUGCAUAUCAAUUAUUGCAUCUCAUAGAAGAUGAGAAUUCUUUUCCAUGGAGAGUACAUGAAGACAUUCGUCGAGCAAGACUCUCAAUGAUAUAUCUCUUUCUUGGAUUAAUAUCCAGAUUUGGCUUCUCUGAAGCCAUUCUUUAGAGAGAAUAUACUCCAUCACGUUAUGACCUUUCUUGGUCAUCUUUCGGGACACAAGUACCCAGCCUUUUGCUUUCAUAAAUGAAAGCAUGGAAAACUUUCACUCUGAGAAAAUUAACCAAUAAUCAACAAUAAUGAGCAUAAAAAUAACCCUACGCUGGUCUGGUUAAAGAUAUGCACACCUUUCUUUUAUACUCUAAAUCAUUGUUAGGCAGAAAUAGAAUAAAACAUCACCUUUUUACAUUAAUUCCACAUCACCAUUGGGCAGAAAUGGAAAUAACGCAUAUAACUCAUAAAUAAUGUGAUGAUAAAAUUUCUAUUAAGCAACUUUGCUAAGAAAAUAAUCAUCAUUAUCAAUUUUAUUGCAGCGGAAAACUAGCAAUAUACAUUUCUUAAUCUUUAUCAAAUUCUCUGAAAAUUGGUCACUUUGAUACAAAAUUUAUCAAAGAUUUGAACUUUUAACUAUAAGACUCAUUGAAUUAUAAUAUUAUCAUCAUCAAUGUUGGUCAGAAAAUAACAAUAUCAUAAUUAAACUUUAAUCAAAUAUCUUUGUAUUGUCAUAGCAGAAGCUAUCUGAAUCUGAUUUCACCCACAAGUGAAAAAACUUCUCCCAAAAACUGUUCUUCCAACUAAAAUUUUCCCGUUGGUUCCAAUUUAAUUGAAGGAUAAAACUUUUACUUUGCAGCGAAACUUUACAAUAUUCCAUUCAUAAGAAUUUUCUUUUUCUUUUAAAAGAGCACUUUUAUUUAUUUUGAAGUGGAAAACAUGAAUAAAAAAUUCAUGGACUUUAUUCUUUUCAGAAACAAAUUCUUUUACUUUUCUGUUUUUGAGACAAAUUUUUAUUGGACAAUUUGAAUAGAAAAACUGUAUAAAAUUUUCUCGAAAGACUGGGCAAAAGAAACAGAUAAAAUGAAAAACUACUGGCCGCGCCGUCCACGGCCCAGCACGCUCGCGGCAGUGCCUCCCGGCCCACAGGGCCCAGAGGCGGGCGCUCCAUAGCUGCGGCCUUGGUCCGACAGCCUUUCAGCCCAAAGGCCCAGAGGCGGGCGAGAGAUGGCAGCCUGGUCACAUGGCCAAGUGCCCCACUUUCUUUCGGCCCACUGGCCCGGGUCGGAUCUAGGUUUUUGAUCGUGGCCGUCCAUCUAGAUCGGACGGACCACCACACUUUCCGUCUGAAGAAAACCGAGACAGCUAUCCCCUGACCCGAAGACCUAGUUCAUUCUUUACCAUCUUCCAGUGCUCUAUGCCUGGAUUCUCUUGAUAUCUACCGAGUACCCCGGUGAUAAAGGCUAAGUGAGGGCGAGUGCACACUUGUGCAUACUGUAAGCUGCCAAUCGCUGAAGCAUAUGGUACUACUUUCAUUUGAUCGAUCUCGUACUGGUUCUUGGGACAUUGAAAUUUCUCAAAACUAUCGCCCUUAACUAUAGGAGCAGGUGUGGCUUUACUCGCAUGCAUAUUAUAUACUUUUUAAGAACCUUUUCUAAAUAUGCUUUCUACGAUAUUCCUAAGACUCCAUUGUUUCUAUCUCGGUGAAUUUGUAUGCCCAAGACAUAUGAUGUUUCACCAAGAUCUGUUAUGUCAAAAUUUGAGGAUAAGAACUUCUUUGUUUCUUGUAGUAGACUAACAUCACUGCUAGCAAGCAGAAUAUCAUCCACAUACUACAAGAUUAGGAAAAUAUAUUUCCCAUUUCUAAACUUUGCAUAAAUGCAGUUAUGCUCAAUAUUUUCUUUCAAUCCAAAACUUUUAAUCGUUUGAUUAAACUUUAAUACCACUGUCUAGAGGCUUGACUUAAUCCAUAAAUGGAUUUCUUCAGGUGGCAUCCCAUAUUUUCCUUGCCUUCCAUGAUAAAACCCUUGGGUUGUUUCAUGUAGACAUUUUCUUUUAAAUCACCAUUCAUAAAUGUCGUUUUAACAUCCAUUUGAUGUAACUCUAAAUCAAAAUGUGCAACUAAUGCCAUUAUGAUUCUGAAGGAAUCCUUACAUGAGACUGGGGAAAAAGUCUCAUUGUAGUCUAUCCGUUCUCUUUGAGUAAAUCCUUUUGCCACGAGUCGUGCUUUAUACUUUUCUACAUUCCCUUUAGAGUCAUACUUAAUUUUGUAGACCCAUUUACAACCUACUGUUUUGGCUCCUUUAGGAAUUUCCUUUAAGUCCCAAACAUCUUUGGAACUCAUCAAUUUCAUCUUGUCUUCCAUUGCCUUCAUCCACUUUGAUGAAUGAGGGCUUCUCAUGGCUUCUUCAUUUGAGGUGGGGUCUUUUUCCAUAUGAACCAUUUAUGUGUUAUAAACUUUAAAGUCAAUAGAAAUAGCUGACUUUCUUGGUCUUGUAGACCUUCUAAGGGCCUCAGUUUCUGGCACAUUGUGUGCCUCAACUUCUGGCACUUCUUCUAAAAUGUGCUGCUGCAUCUUCCUUUCAUGCUCAACAACGGGUCCAGUCGGCUCCUGACGGACAGGUUUCGGGUCUAUUCCCAUAGUUAUCAAGGGUGGAGUUGCAACUGGUAGUGAGAAAAAUGGCUCCUGAAUCAUCGGAUUAGGUGCAUGCACCCUCUUCUCCUCAAGAUCAAUUUUUCGAGCUACCAAGCUCCCCCUCAUCAUUUCAUCCUCUAAAGAGACUGCAUGUCUCGUUUCUACAAAUUUUGUAUAUAUGUCUGGGUAGUAGAAACGAAAACCCUUUGUGCGGUUGCGCCUUUCAACUACUCCAUUUUGUUGAGCCUCGCCGGACAUUGAAUACUGGCUACUUUGCCAGUCUCCUGCAAGAACAUCGCAAAAGGUCCACGGACUUGGCCAUAUGGAGUGUGCCGACCGUAGUACGCUCCCCCAUGGUCGGACCUUACAAUCUUUAUUCUUUUAUCAUGCUGAUUUUCAACUUCAACUUUGAAUAUUUUAAAUUUAUCCAAUGCUUCCGAUCUUUCUUUGAUUGGAUAAAUAUAACCAUAGCGAGAGUAAUCAUCUGUGAAUGUUAUGAAUGAGUCAUAUCCAUCCACACUUUUCACCGGAAAUGGUCCACAAAUGUCAGUGUGGAUGAUUCCUAGUGUGCAUAUGCUAUGGAUUGCAUCUUUUUUGAUUUGUUUUAUAUACUUCCCUUUAAUGCAAUCUAUGCAUUGUUCUAAGUUUGUGAAUUCUAGCGGAGGAAGAAAUUCACUUUUGACUAAUCUGGCUAUUCUCCCCUUGGAAAUAUGGCCCAAGCGACAAUGCCAUAAUUUCGAUGAGUCGAAUGUUCUCCUUCUUUUCUUUUGUUCUUUAUUCGAUGCGGAAACAUGUUCAUUCACAUUGCAUACAAAAUGCACUUUUUCACGAAGUGAUGACAAAUAAAGCUCAUCGUGUAGUAAAGCAUCACCCACAUAAGCAUUAUUAUACCAUAUGGCACACUUGCCAUGUCCAAAAUAACAUUCAUAAUUAUCUUUGCCCAAACAUGAAACGCUAAUUAAGUUUCUAUUACAUGAAGGAACAUAAAGAACAUCUCUAAGUAAAAGCUUGAACCCAUAAGCUAACUCCAAGGAGAUGUCGCCGACAGCUUCAACUUCCGCUUGAAUUCCAUUUGCUACUUCAAUGCCUCUUUCUCUUCUUAGCGUAGUCCGGGUCGAAUGGAAUUCCUGUAAACAAAUUGCAACAUGAAUAGUUGCUCCUGAGUCAAUCCACCAAGUAGAUUUCGAAAACUGUGUGUACAAGGAUUCAUUAACUAAGGAAACAAUGUUGUUACCUUGCUUUGCCAUUAAGGACUUCAGCCAAUCAGGGCAGUCUUUCUUGUAAUGCCCAGUCUUCUUACAAUGGAGACAAGUGUCUUUGUCCACUCGGUAAGACUUCUACUGAUGCUGAUCCUGAUAGGGAGCUUUUCCAUGCUUUGAAGGAGAACUUUUGUUGUUUUGAUUGUAAUUCCUUUUCUUUUGAUCCUUCACAUAGUUGAGUGAACCACCUUGUGAGGCUUUGAGUCUGUCCUCUUCUUGGACAGACAUUGCUAUUGUCUUUUCAAUGUCCCAUGUUCCAGGUGACAUAUUGUAGUUUACAACAAAAGUUUCAAACUCCUUUGGUAGUGAAGCCAUGACCAGGUGGACCAAGAGCUUUGGUUUGAUCUCCAGAUCCUCAUCCAUGGGCUUUAGCUUUGCUGCCAUAUUGCUCAUCCUGAGGAUGUGCUCUCUUAUUCCAUAACUACCACCUGUGUAGUGUUCUGUCACCAGUUGUUUUAACACUUGGAUGGCAUAUAUCUUUGAAGAGCCAGUGAACUGGCUCUUUAUCUUUGUAAGCAACUCCCCUGUGGAAGUGCAUUAUGCAAUGGAGCACACAAUGGUGCUCUCAAUUUUAUUCUUUAUAAAUGACAUGCACUUUUUGUUUGCAUUGACCCACUUUUGGUUUUCUAUGAUGUAUGACAUCUUCAAAGGAGCAUAAUCCCCCCUCUUUUUAGCCCACGCAACAUCAUCAUUAGUGGCCUCUCUUACUGGAUAUGUAGGUCUGACCGGCUGUGGUUCAUCCACAACCCAGUCCAGAUCAGCACAAACAAAUGCCAGUUCUACUUUCCUCCCCCACUCAGUGUGAUUGUCACCUCUGAGUGUUGGAAUAUCUUUUAGGCAACUCAUCAAGUGAAAGCCUUCUGAAAUCACAAUUUAAGUGACAUCAGUAUAACAAUCAUAUGCAUUAAUCUAACGUUGGUCAAAUUAAACGUACAAUUGUCUAUGCAAUUAAAUAUAUAUUACCGUUGGGUAAAAUAUUAGAAAUAAAUGCACCUUUAAAUUUCAAUAAUAAAACAUGAUCAUGUUAUUAACAACGUUGGUCAUAAAAAAUAACAUAAUCAUAUUCAUUUUAAUAAUCACUUUAACAUGCUCUUAAAAACAUAAUUCUAUCUAAACUUCUAUUUUCUUUGUAAAAGAGCACUAUUAAUUAUUUACGCAACGUAAAAACAUGAAUAAAAAUUCAUGAACGUUUUAAUCUUUAUAGAAACUUUUCUUUCACCGAAUAAAAAAAUCAUAAACUUUAUUAUUUUCUUUAUAAAAAUUCAUGAACAUUUCCUUUUGGAAAAAAUUUCUAUUCUCUGAAAAAACAGAAUUAGCUGCAGCAGAGCCCAGCGCGCGAGGCCCACAUUGGAAAAAGCCGGCCAACGGCCUGGCCCGCGCUCCGCUAGCGGCUGUGGCCUCGGCCAGCGCCUGUGCCAGCGCCAAUGCUGCCGGCCUCUUCAUGGUUUGGCCUAAAAAGCCUGGCUGAGCUAGGUUUUAGAUCGCAGCGUCCACUGUGAUCGGACGAACCACCGCGGGUUUCGCUGGAUCAAAACCAGCCCCGACCGAUCCUUCCUAACCCUAGCCCCACUCUCAUUCUCUCUUCCUCGUCUCUCAUUGCGGUCUCGCUGACGGUGGAGAAAAAAGGGCUUCGCCACGGCUACCCGGCCCGGCUGACGGGGGCGGCGGCGGAAGCCACUGCACCGCGCGCGCCUCCUCUCCCUUCCCCUUUUUUUCUUUCCUAUUGCAGAGGGGCUGGCCGGUCCUUCGAUCUAUCUCCGCGGCCGGGGCCCGAGGCCACCGGUGAGCUAGGUCUGGCCGCCGAUGACGGCGACCUAAAGCCACCGCGCUGCGUGCGCGACCCUCUGUUUCACUUUCCCCUUUACUUUUCUUCAUCCAUCUCCACUGCAACAGACAGAGAGAGAGACACAGGAGAGCCUCCUCUUCUCCUCUGCGCCUGAUGGACGACGACGAUCCGUGGCGCCGUUGCCUCCCCUUUGCCGGUGACGCGUUUCCCUUAGCGGAAGCGCGCUGCCGUCGAACAGCGUGGCUGCGGUGCCGCCUUUGCCCUUUGCAGGGUAGGUUCUUUGUCCGACGCCUCGGCUUGCCGAUGCACGUCCGGAUCGAGAGGAACGGCGUGGCCAUGAUGGUGUCGCUCUUUGCCGGCGUGCCUAAAGCCCUCUCCGGUGAACUUUUUGUUGUUCUUUUUGUUUGCUUUUCUCUGCCCUGCUAGGGUUCUUUCGGGAGGGGAAAAACUUUUCUUUGAUUGCUUUCUACCGAAAAUCUGAGCCAAAACCUGUCUGAUACCAUUGAUAGACCUUGGGAUCGGUUAGGCCAGAUCAAUCCGUUAAACCUACCUUCUGCCUGUCCAGACGAGCUCGAUCCAGUAUCGGCCGUGGUGAUGUGGUGACGGCGGUGAUGUGGAUAGAGAGAUGGUGAGGAGGUGGUGCUUCCCGUGAGCACCAUGCUAACCCUAGAUCGGUAGGGCGUGUAGGUGGGGUUUGUGGCGGUGAUGAACUUUGUUAGUCGUGCCCCGGCUCCCAUCUCUGUUAAGAUAACGUGGGUCAAAGGGGCCCACCAACCAUAAUGGGUUGGGCGCCCCCAGCCCGGGCGCAUUGACCAAGUGCCUGGCAGGCCGUUGGGCCUGCACAGAGGAGAUCAACCUAACAAAAGAAAAGAAAGAGAGCAUUCGACUCAUCGAAAUUAUGGCACAAUCGCUUGGGCCAUAUUUCCAAGGGGAGAAUAGAAAGAUUAGUCAAAAGUGAAAUUCCUACAUCGCCAUCUCUCUAUGCACAUCGCCCCCGUCACCACAUCACCAUUGCCGGCGCUGGAUCGGGCUCGUCUGGACAAGAAGAAGGUAGGUUUACCGGAUUGAUCUGGCCUAACCGAUCCCAAGGUCUAUCAAUGGUAUCUGAUAGGUUUUGGCUCAGAUUUUCGGUAGAAAGCAAUCAAAGGAAAAUUUUUCCCCUCCCCAAAGAACCCUAGCAGGGCAGAGAAAAGCAAACAAAAAGAACAACAAAAAGUUCACCAGAGAGGGCUUUGGGCCCGCCGGGAAAGAGCGCCGCCGUCAUGGCUGCGCCUGUUCCUCUUGAUUCGGACGCGCAUUGGCAAGCCGAGGCAUCGGACGAAGAACCUACCCUCCAAAGGACAAAGGGGCACCGCGGCCAUGCAGUUCGACGGCGGCGCGCUUCCGCUAAGGUAAACGCGUCACCGACGAAAGGGGAGGCAACGGCGCCACGGAUCAUCGUCGUCCAUCAGGCGUAGAGGAGAAGAGGAGGCUCUCAUGUCUCUCUCUGUCUAUUGCAGUGGAGAUGGAUGAAGCAAAGUAAAGGAGAAAGUGAAACAAAGGGUCCCGCGCGCGGCGCGGUGGCUUCAGGUCGCCGUUGCCGGUGGCCAGGCCUAGCUCUCCGGUGGCCUCGGGCCCCGGCCGCGGAGACAGAUCGGAGGACCGGCCAGCCCCUCUGCAACAGGAAAGAAAAAAGGAGGAAGGGAGAGGAGGCGCACGCGGCGUGGUGGCUUCCGCCGCCUCCGGCGGCCGGGCCCGGUAGCCCAGGCGAAGCCCUUUUUCUCCGCCGUCAGCGAGACCGUGACGAGAGACGAGGAGGAGAGAACGAGAAUGGGGCUAGGGUUAGGGAGGAUCGGUCGGGUCUGGUUUUGAUCCAGCGAAACCCGCGGUGAUUCGUCUGAUCACAGUGGACGGCUGCAAUCUAAAACCUAGCUCAACCCAGGCUUUUUGGGCCGAACCAGGAAGAGGCCGGCGCUGGCACAGGCGCUGGGCCGAGGACACAGCCGCUGGCGGCGCGCAGGCUAGGCCGUGGGCCUACUUUUUUCGCUGCGGGCCGCGCGCGUUGGGCUUUGCUAUAGCUAAUUCUGUUUUUUAGAGAAUAGAAUUUUUUUUCCAAAAAGAAAUGUUCAUGAAUUUUUAUAAAGAAAAUAAUAAAGUUCAUGAUUUUUUAUUCGGUCAAAGAAAAGUUUCUGUAAAUAUUAAAAAGUUCAUGAAUUUUUAUUCAUGUUUUUACGCUGCGUAAAUAAUUAAUAGUGCUCUUUUACAAAGAAAAUAAAAGUUUAGAUAGAAUUAUGUUUUUAAGAGCAUGUUGAAGUGAUUAUUAAAAUGAAUAUGAUUAUGUUAUUUUUUAUGACUAACCUUGUUAAUAACAUGAUCAUGUUUUAUUAUUGAAAUUUAAAGGUGCAUUUAUUUCUAAUAUUUUAACCAACGAUAAUAUAGAUUUAAUUGCAUAGACAAUUGUAUGUUUAGUUUGACCAAUGUUACAUUAAUGCAUAUGAUUGUUAUACUGAUGUCACUUAAAUUAUGAUUUCAUGAGGCUUUCACUUGAUGAGUUGCCUAAAAGAUGUUCCAACAUUCAGAGGUGACAAUCACACUGAAUGGAGGAAGAAAUUAGAACUGGCAUUUGUUUGUGCUGAUCUAGACUGGAUUGUGGAUGAACCACAGCCGGUCAGACCUACAGAGCCAGUAAGAGAGGCCACUGAUGAUGAUGCUGCGUGGGCUAAGAAGAGGGGGGAUUAUGCUCCUUUGGAGAUGUCAUACAUCAUAGAAAACCAAAAGUGGGUCAAUGCAAACAAAAAAAAUGCAUGACAUUUAUAAAGAAUACAAUUGAGAGCACCAUUGUGGGCUCCAUUGCAGAGUGCACUUGCGUAGGGGAGUUUCUUACAAAGAUAAAGAGCCAGUUAACUGGCUCUUCAAAGAUAUAUGCCACUCAGGUGUUAAAAUAACUGGUGACAGAACACUACACAGGUGGUAGUCAUGGAAUAAGAGAGCACAUCCUCAGGAUGAGCAAUAUGGCAGCAAAACUAAAGCCCAUGGAUGAGGAUCUGGAGAUCACAACCAAAGCUCCUGGUCCACCUGGUCAUGGCUUCACUGCCAAAGGAGUUUGAAACUUUUGUUGCAAACUACAGUAUGUCACCUGGAACAUGGGACAUUGAAAAGACAAUAACAAUGUGUGUCCAAGAAGAGGACAGACUCAAAGCCUCACAUGGUGGUUCACUCAACUAUGUGAAGGAUCAAAAGAAAAGGAAUUACAAUCAAAACAACAAAAGUUCUCCUUCAAAGCAUGGAAAAACUCCCUAUCAGCAUCAGCAUUAACAGAAGUCUUUCCCAGUGGACAAAGACACUUGUCUCCAUUGUAAGAAGACUGGGCAUUACAAGAAAGACUGUCCUGAUUGGCUGAAGUCCUUAAUGGCAAAGCAAGGUAACAACUUGUUUCCUUAGUUAAUGAAUCCUUGUACACACAAUUUUCGAAAUCUACUUGGUGGAUUGACUCAGGAGCAAUUGUUCAUGUUGCAAAUUGUUUAUAGGGAUUCCAUUCGACCCGGACUACGCUAAGAAGAGAAAGAGGCAUUGAAGUAGCAAAUGGAAUUCAAGCGGAAGUUGAAGCUGUCGGCGACAUUUCCUUGGAGUUAGCUGAUGGAUUCAAGCUUUUACUUAGAGAUGUUCUUUAUGUUCCUUCAUGUAAUAGAAACUUAAUUAGCAUUUCAUGUUUGGACAAAUAUAAUUAUGAAUGUUAUUUUGGACAUGGCAAGUGUGCCAUAUGGUAUAAUAAUGCUUAUGUGGGUGAUGCUUUACUACACGAUGAGCUUUAUUUGUCAUCACUUCCUGAAAAAGUGCAUUCUGUAUGCAACGUGAAUGAACAUGUUUCCGCGUCGAAUAAAGUAUAAAAGAAAAGAAAAAGAACAUUCGACUCAUCGAAAUUAUGGCACUAUUGCUUGGGCCAUAUUUCCAAGGGGAGAAUAGAAAGAUUAGUCAAAAGUGAAACUCUUCCUUCGCUAGAAUUCUCAGACUUAGAACAAUGCAUAGAUUGCAUUAAAGGAAAGUAUAUAAAACAAAUCAAAAAAGGUGCAAUCCAUAGCACAAGCACACUAGCUAGGAAUCAUCCACACUGACAUUUGUGGACCAUUUUCAGUGAAAAGUGUGGAUGGAUAUGACUCGUUCAUAACAUUCACAGAUGAUUACUCUCCUAUGGUUAUAUUUAUCCAAUCAAAGAAAGAUCGAAAGCGUUGGAUAAAUUUAAAAUAUUGAAAGCUGAAGUUGAAAAUUAGCAUGAUAAAAGAAUAAAGGUAGUAAGGUCCGGCCGUGGGGGAGAGUACUACGGUCGGCACACUCCAUAUGGCCAAGUCCCUGGACCUUUUGCGAAUUUCUUGCAGGAGACUGGCAUAGUAGCCCAGUAUUCAAUCCCGGGCGAGCCUCAGCAAAAUGGAGUAGCUGAAAGGCGCAACCAUACACUUAUGGAUAUGGUGCGCAACAUGAUGAGUUAUACCAACUUGCCAUUAGGAUUAUGGAUGGAGGCGCUUAAAACCGCCAUUUACAUUCUCAAUAGAGUACCAUGCAAGUCGGUGCCCAAAACACUGUACAAGCUAUGGACAGGAAGGGUGCCCUCCCUACAACAUUUCAGGGUGUGGGGGGUGCCCUGCUGAGGCCAAAAUGUUUAAUCCAAACAUUGAAAAGUAGAUCCCAAAAUAGUGAGUCGCCACUUCAUUGGCUAUCCAGACAGAUCAAAGGGUUUUCGUUUCUACUGCCCAGACAGAUACUCAAAGUUUGUAGAAACGAGACAUGCAGUCCUCUUAGUGGACGAAAUGAUGAGGGGGAGCUUGGUAGCUCGGAAAAUUGAUCUUGAGGAGAAGAGGGUUCAUGCACCUAAUCCGAUGAUCCAGAAGCCAUUUUUCUCACUACCAGUUGCAACUCCACCCAUGACAACUAUGGGAGUAGACCCGGAACCUGUCCGUCAGGAGCCGGCUGAACCCGUUGUUGAGAAUGAAAGGGAGGUGCAGCAGCAAAUUUUAGAAGAAGUGCCAAAAGUUGAGGCACAGAAUGUGCCAGAAACUAAGGUCCUUAGAAGGUCUUCAAGACCAAGAGAGUCAGCUAUUUCUACUAACUUUAAAGUUUAUAACACAGAAAUGAUUCAUAUGGAAAAAGAUCCCACCUCAUAUGAAGAAGCCAUGAGAAGCCCUCAUUCAUCAAAGUGGAUGAAGGCAAUGGAAGACGAGAUGAAAUCGAUGAGUUCCAAAGAUGUUUGGGACUUAGAGGAAAUUCCUAAAGGAGCCAAAACAGUAGGCUGUAAAUGGGUCUACAAAAUUAAGUAUGACUCUAAAGGGAAUGUAGAAAAGUAUAAAGCACGAUUCGUGGCAAAAGGAUUUACUCAAAGAGAAGGGAUAGACUACAAUGAUACUUUUUCCCCAGUCUCAUGUAAGGAUUCCUUCAGAAUCAUAAUGGCAUUAGUUGCACAUUUGAUUUAGAGUUACAUCAAAUGGAUGUUAAGACGGCAUUUCUGAAUGGCGGUUUAAAAGAAAAGGUCUACAUGAAACAACCCAAUGGUUUUAUCAUGGAAGGCAAGGAAAAUAUGGGAUGCCGCCUGAAGAAAUCCAUUUAUGGAUUAAGACAAGCCUCUAGACAGUGGUAUCUAAAGUUUAGUCAAACGAUUAAAAGUUUUGGAUUUAAAGUAAAUAUUGAGGAUAACUGCAUUUAUGCAAAGUUUAAAAAUGGGAAAUAUAUUUUCCUAAUCUUGUAUGUGGAUGAUAUUCUGCUUGCUAGCAGUGAUGUUAGUCUACUACAAGAAACAAAGAAGUUCUUAUCCUCGAAUUUUGACAUAACAGAUCUUGGUGAAGCAUCAUAUGUUUUGGGCAUAGAAAUUCACCGAGAUAGAAACAAUGGAGUCUUAGGACAAUCGCAGAAAGCAUAUUUAGAAAAUGUUCUUAAAAAGUGUAAUAUGCAUGCGAGUAAAGCCACACCUGCUCCUAUAGUUAAGGGCGAUAGUUUUGGAAAAUUCCAAUGUCCCAAGAACCAGUACGGAAUCGAUCAAAUGAAAGAAGUACCAUAUGCUUCGGCAGUUGGUAGCUAACAGUAUGCACAAGUGUGCACUCGCCCUGACUUAGCCUUUAUCACCGAGGUACUUGGCAGAUAUCAAGAGAAUCCAGGCAUAGAGCACUGGAAGAUGGUAAAGAAAUCAUUGCGUUAUGCACAAGGCAUGAAGGAAUACAUGUUAAUAUACAAGAGAAGUGAUUCCCUAGAGAUAAAAGGGUAUUCAGACGCAGAUUUUGCAGGAGACAAAGAUGAUAGAAAAUCCACGCCAGGAUAUGUAUUCACCCUCGUUGGGGGAGCUAUUUCAUGGAAAAGCUCCAAACAGUCGAUAGUUGCAUCAUCCACGAUGUAUGAAGAAUUCAUAGCAUGCUUCGAAGCCACGGGGCAGGCGAUAUGGCUAAAGAAAUUUGUACCCGACUUGAAUGUGGUAGAUUGUAUUCACAAACCACUAAAGAUGUACUGUGACAACCAGCCCGUAGUAUUCUAUGCUCACAACAACAAGUCGAGUAAUGGUGCCAAAACAAUAGAGAUAAGGUAUUAUGUUGUGAAAGAUAAAUCCAGGAUCAAACUAUAAGUCUCGAGCAUAUAAGGACAAAAGAUAUGCUUGCGGAUCCGCUAACGAAAGGCUUACCACCCAAUGUGUUCAAGGAACAAUUAGCCGUCAUGGGUUUAAGGGAAAGCCUUAUGAUUCCUGGAUAGGCCCAAAAGGAACAGAAUUUGUUUUUGAACAAAACGUAUGUUAUAGCUGAAUGAUUCUAUCAGCAAUUGAGCUGUGACGAUGAAACAUGCUCUCUGUACCAAUAUGUGAUGAAACAAAUAAACUAGAAAGUAUAAGGUUAAAAAUGUUGAGAACAAGGGGGAGAAUGUUAGGUUGAUCUCCUUUGUGCAGGCCCAACGACCUGCCAGGCCCUUGGUCAAUGCACCCUAAUCGGGGACGCCCAACCCAUUAUGGUUGGUGGGCCCCUAUGACCCGCGCUAUAUUAACAGAGGUGGGGGUCGGGGCACGACUAAAGAAGUUCAUCGCCGCCACAAACCCCACCUACACGCCCUACUGAUAUAGGGUUAGCGCGGUGCUCAUGGGAAGCACCAACUCCUCGCCAUCUCUCUGUCCACGUCCCCGCCGUCACCGCAUCACCAUGGCCGGCGCUGGAUCGAGCUCGUUUGGACAUGCAGAAGGUAGGUUUACCGGAUUGAUCUAGCCUAACCGAUCCCAAGGUCUUUCAUCAUUCACAAUAAAAUCCGCUUAGACAAGCUUCGGGGUACUUGGCAUCAAAGAGUUUCCUGUUUCUACUACCAGUUGCUACUUUGUGUUAGAUGCUCAUUAGCCAUAUAAUGCUACUAGAUCUGGUGUCUGACGGUGCUUUGUAUUGCUUCGGUUUUAAUUAAGUAAACUGGAGCAUGGUAUAUGCCCUGUUCAAAUAAUAAUGAAAAAUGUUGUCAUCUGUUCAAGUGAUAAUAGCCUCCCUUAGCUUUUAUUUGUUUUGCUUGAAAUUUCAACAACAAAGAGAUUAUGUUAGAUCUUCUUUUUGGUGAGCGGGUGAGCUAAUUUGGCAAUUUUCCUCUUGAUCUAUGUAGAAAUUGGAUGCUUCAAAGGAUUUGAGUGGAGUUUAUUAUAGGUGAGUGUGAUAAUCUGCAGUCUCACAUGCAUCAUUAGCUUCCCUUAUCCCGCAACAGGUAUUCUUCAUGUUUUGUAUCUUGCCAGGUUCGAUUAUUUCUUGGCUUAGAGCAGCGGCGCAAGUAGAGAGAGAUGCCAAGGUUACUCAUGUGUCAUGAUAGAUAGCUGUGCAGGAGCAGCUCGGGGACGAACCCAAGGUCUAAAAUGCUGAAUCUCCCAAUAAAGUGACACUGUAUAUCUUAGGUUCACUCAACAUCUUAUACCUCAACCAGAAUUCAGCUACUAGACACAUCCAGUUAGUCCGAGAAUAAUUCUGAACCUUUACUAUUUCUCUCUGCCGUGUGAACUGAUAGAUGCAGGAUGACAAAGUUGUGAACUAAGCAGCAAAAGGACGGCAAGAGCCCGAUGGCAUCGUAGCUAUCGCCCCCUUCAGCGUCCAGGAACCAUGCAAAACGCCACUGUCAAUGUGAGCGGCGAGGAGCGAAUGGGCGGCUACAUCAUGCACCAUGGCAUGACGAUCAGAUCGGCGAUGUGAUCGUUGCACUGGUUAAUGCCAACGAUCAGUUCAUUUUUGUCGAUUGUCAUGUGGGAUUCUAUGUCCAUCUUUUUCUGGAAUUCUGUUUUUUUGAUUCAAAAUAUUUAAGAACUUGUGAAAUUUGGUAUCUUUUGUAAGCAAAUGUCAGUGUCAAAACGUCUUUUGUAUAUUUCAAUUAAUUAUCAGCAGGUUGCCAACAAACUUAUAUUAUGGUGUUGUU